rnacentral:rRNA from 1 species
CACGUAGGGUGCGAGCGUUGUCCGGAAUUAUUGGGCGUAAAGAGCUCGUAGGCGGUUUGUCGCGUCUGCUGUGAAACCCCGAGGCUCAACCUCGGGCCUGCAGUGGGUACGGGCAGACUAGAGUGCGGUAGGGGAGAUUGGAAUUCCUGGUGUAGCGGUGGAAUGCGCAGAUAUCAGGAGGAACACCGAUGGCGAAGGCAGAUCUCUGGGCCGUAACUGACGCUGAGGAGCGAAAGCGUGGGGAGCGAACAGG